rnacentral:antisense_RNA from 1 species
GAGAUAUGUACAUGAGUGUUUGUGAUGUUUCCUGGUGAAAGCACAGGUGAGACGUGGUCUUGUAACACAGUGGUUAAGAAUGUGACUUUGGAGCCAGCCUGCUAGGGGCUGAAUUCUGACUCAGCCAUUUAUUAACUGUGUGACCUUAGGGAGGAGGACCUGGUUGAUAGAAGAAUUUAUCUCAUAGUCUUAACAUCCACUGUAAUUCCGAACUUUGAGGACGAUAGAGAUCAGUGGGCUUUGACUGCCCAGCAUGCAGUCUCCAUUCUUAGGUCAUAGAAUUUUCCACACUCCUUGACGGAGGUUCUUAACCCUUAUCCAUCAGCAUUCUCAGACAGCACCUCCGGUUAGGGACAGUAUCUGACCGUCCGACAUCCCUGCAGCCCCCAUGCUGUCACACAGACUCAGCCUCAGGUAGAUGGUUUCCGUAGAUGGUGGCUUUCUUUGGACCCUUGAUAUCAACCAGUUACUAUUUG